rnacentral:rRNA from 1 species
GCUAACGCUUGAAUACAUUAGCAUGGAAUAAUGAAAUAGGACGUUCGAUCCUAUUUCGUCGGUUUCUAGGAUUGACGUAAUGAUUAAUAGGGAUAGUAGGGGGCAUUAGUAUUCAAUUGUCAGAGGUGAAAUUCUUGGAUUUAUUGAAGACUAACUACUGCGAAAGCAUUUGCCAAGGAUGUUUCAUUAAUCAAGAACGAAAGUUAGGGGAUCGAAGACGAUCAGAUACCGUCGUAGUCUUAACCAUAAACUAUGCCGACUAGGGAUCGGAUGAUGUUAAUUUUUUAAUGACUCAUUCGGCGCCUUACG